rnacentral:lncRNA from 15 species
GCUGGAGGGAGGUGUGGGACAGGAGGGCUGACGGCUACGCUGCCUUCAUCAUGAGAACUAAGUGUUUUCAGGGACUCAGAUGUACAGACUGCAGCAGUAGCUGAUAAGGAAACAGUCGGCCUCUGUCUCCUCUUCACCAGUUCCUGCCUCAAGUGCACCUGAUGAAGACACCAUCCCACCGUGCCGACAGUGAAGAGACCUGUAACCAUUCCUCCUGAGCUGCAGGUUCUGGUGACAGAGGUUGCUCAUCCCAACAAACUGAGUUCUUUCAGCGUGAACUUCAGCUAACCGAGCGCAGAGUGGAAGACAGAGCGGAAAAGAAACUGCCGGACCCUCAGCCUCGAGGAACAAUGUGUCGUUUCUGUCACACAGAGCUGAAGCAGGGUCCAGACACACACACACACAGACACACACACACACACAGACACACUCAGGAUUCCCGGGGGGGAAACACAUUCACUGUCCAGCUAAGGUCCUUGCGUCAUAAAGACAUGACAAAGGAAAUGACGUGGAAAGAAUUUGAGGCCUCACCGUUCUAUGCGAUGGAGAAAGAGAGGGUGGACGGCAGAAAGAAAAAGAUAGCUGAGAAUGAGACGUGUUUAUCUACAGAGAGAGAGCGGGUCAGCUUCCAUGGAGUUCGCCAUGUUCAACCACCGUGUUUCUACAGUAGCCCCAAAGGGACAAACAGAACACUGGCUCUAGAUAGAGCCUUUCACAUUUCACAUGUUUCUGUGACACCAUAGUUUCUGGGGAGGGGGAGGGAGGAGCCAGUGAGUUGCAACUACACCACUAGAUGCCAAUAAAGGCUUCACAAUGUCCUUUAACAUAAACGCCGUUCGACCACGGAGCAUUGCAUUCUGUGAAAUUACAACUGAUUAAUCUGAUUGAUUUAGUUGUUUCCUUGUAUAUAUUUAUAAUUGAUUAUUGGAUAUAAAACUGAUUGAAAGAUUGAUUAUACUUGUUUUAGCACUCUUUAAAUUGCACUGAAGACAGAGGACAGUGUGGACAGAUUUAAUAAAACAAUGACUUUUAGCACAGAACUUGUUUCACUUGAUUUCAUCUAUAAAGCUCUGGUCAGCUCAUUUCCAUUAUGAAUAAUAGUAUUUAAUUCACCUUUGAAUGCUAAAGAAAAUCAGUCUUUAUUACAAGUAUAAUUGAGUAUAAUAUUACGUAUUAUAUUGAUACUAUAAUUGGGGUGUUCCUCCAUAAAAUUCUCAAUACAUGAAUACAAACAAUUAUUACAUACUUUAGACUGAAAUCAUGUAGAUUUUAAUGUCAAAUUUAGAAUAAAUAAGUUAGAAGUUAGAAAGACUCAUGAAGCACAGAAAGUCACACAAGCAGCCACCUCACUGUUGGCGGAUGAGUCAGUGAGCGUGAUGGAUCAAACUCCGUCUCUGACACCAAUACCGAGACCGGCAGAGCCAAGCCAAGAGUCCUCAUGUGUCCGGAGCGUCGCGGCUCAACUGCACACUUCCCACCAACAGGAGGAACAAGCUAGCUUUGACCAAGACAAAACUUCUACACCGAAAACACGGUACUCUGGAGUCACAAGACGCAUAAGCCCGGACUGCAAAGUGAAAAACUAUAGAACCCUUAGGGUUAGAAUAAAAAAUAUAUAAGUAAUUAUUUAAAUUCAAUAUUUACCAGUGUGUUUGAAAUUCAACCGGGCUUCAGCCACACAUUUUUAUGUCAUUCAUUAUUCAAAAUGUAUGAUACAAUAUGUCGAAGAUACAAAGAAUACAAUUCGAACAAGAAUUUGGCAACAUAAGUUUAAUACUCUGACCAAAAAAGGAAAUUGAGACCACUGGUAGAUUACUUCCUGGUAUAUGGCUGGCCAGCCGAACGCGUGUCAGGACUCCAACACAAUUCCUCUUGGACAGACGCAGGAAGGAAAAAAGCAGAGAAGAAAAGGAAUUGAGUCCUUAAAAACUAUGGAACCAGUAGGACUUAACCCUCCCGCUGAGGCUCUGACGGCUAGGUGCAUAGGAAUGGGAGGAUGAUUCGGGGACACGUAGACCCACCGAGGGCAGCGGGAGGGUUAAGAUAUGAAUGGGGCCUGACCAUGAAGAGCUUAUUUUGGGGCUUACUUAUUGGGGCAACCUGAUAAUAAAGAGUUGCAGUAAUCCAGCCUUGAAGUAACAAAUGCAUGGAUUAGUUUUUCUGCAUCUGUCUGUGAUAGGAUGUGUCUAAUUUUUCUAAUAUUACGUAAAUGAAAGAAGGCAGUCCUAGAGGUCUGCUUUAUGUGGGAGUUAAAUGACAAAUCCUGAUCAAAGAUAACUCCAAGAUUCCUGACAGUGGUGCUAGAGGCCAAGUUAAUGCCAUCUAGAGUAACUAUAUCUUCAGACAGUGAGUCUCUAAGGUUUUUGGGGCCAAGAACAAGAAUUUCGUUUUUUUCUGAGUUUAACAUCAGAAAAUUGCUUUAGUGUCCACAUGAGUCCACAUGAGUCCCUCGUCCUCCACCCGCUGCUGCUCUCGC